rnacentral:tRNA from 1 species
AGGGGUAUAGCUCAGUGGUAGAGCCUUGCCUAGCAAGCACAAACUCUGGGUUUAAUUCCUGGUACCACUA